GACAGAGGUGCCGAGCGUUAGGCGGAAUCACUGGGCUUAAAGCGUGUGUAGGCGGGUCCGUAAGUACCUUGUGAAAUCCCACGGCUCAACCGUGGAACUGCUUGGUAUACUGCGGGUCUUGAGCCACCUAGGGGCAAGCGGAACAAACGGUGGAGCGGUGAAAUGCGUAGAUAUCGGGAGGAAUACCAGUGGCGAAGGCGGCUGCCUGGCCUGUUCUUGACGCUGAGGCGCGAAAGCUGGGGGAGCAAACGGG
rnacentral:rRNA from 1 species